rnacentral:lncRNA from 1 species
GCUUGAAAAGUGCCUACCCCUGGCCUGGGAUGCUUCCUCCUGGGAUGCUCCCACUUGGAACCCAACUAUUGUGCUGCAGAAGUUUAACUUAACUGUGUAAGGAGGCCAAGAGGAGGCCCUGGCUGCCAGCCAGCAUCAACUUCCAGUGACGUGAGUGUGCCAUUCUGGAACUGGAUCCUGCAGCCUCGGUGGAGCAGCCUCAGCUGAUGCCAUGUGGAACAGAGAUGAACUGCCGCUGCCGAGCUCUGCCCACGUUGCAGAAUCAUGAGCAAAUAUGUUGUGGAUUGGCUGUAACUCUGCUCUGGGAUCCAGGCUGAAGGAGCAGGCUCUAUCUGGAACAUUACUAGUCUCCAGGCAGAAGAAAAAGAGACAAUGGAAUGGAUGAUUGAAUGGAUGAAUGAACUCCACAGGAAGAUGAGGAAAGCCUUUAUGGAUGGAGUGAGCUUGCAGCAGAGUCUCAAAGGGUGAGUAGAGUUUUCCAGGUAGGGAAGUGUGUGGGUGAGUAGUCCAGAUCGAGUCAAAGGUAUGGGAGCAAGGAACGGCCUGGUGCAUUCCAGAAGUGUUGAUAAUGUCACUGGCUGACUCGGAGGGUGUGAAGGGGAGGAGAAGGAGGGAAGGCUAGAGAGGGAAGGUAGAAAGGAAGUGGAGGCGAAAAAAGAUGCUGAAGGGCCUCCUGUACCUCCAGGAAGAGUUUGAAUGUUAUCAUUUGGGCAAUGGGAAGCUAUUCCUGGGUCUUCACAAGGGAAUCAGUUGGUGAGAACUGCUGUUUAGAAAGACAGCCCUGGCAGCAACUCAAGCGCUGGGAGAGGACAGAACCACCAGGGAAGAGGGUAUGGGGAAGAAGAGCAGCAGGCUGAGGACAGGCCCAGGACUGAAGAAUCAGGCACAGGAAGAAGAGUCCAUGGGGCAGGCUGUGAAAUGGACAAAGGAAAACCAGAGGUGCUUCCCAAGCAGGGGGCCUGGCCACCAGAGUCCCAAGCUACCAAGAUGUCAAGUAAAGAAGAACUGAAAGCCAACUGCUGGAUGCAGCAGUGAGUGGGGGUCACAGUGGCCUUUGCCAGAACUGUUCCAGUGGAGGAGUAGAGGAAGAGAGAAAACCACAGGAGCAGGCAUCGCAAGCUCAUGCUCCACCCACACGUCCCCUUUCUCCUUUAGUCCUGUGACCCAUGUGCUUGCUCUCUUUCUCUCUCAAAGGAGAUCCAAAUUUAAAAAUAUGGAGCCAAGGGAAUCAGUUCCUUUGCGAACACACUGAACGUUAGUUUUCUUCUUCUCUUUUGCAAAAACUUCUUAUUUCACAAAAUACUCAAACAAAUAGACAAAGUACAGUGAAGUCCAGGUAGAUAUCAUCCACCUUCAGCAAUGAUCAAUCCAUGGCCAAUCUUUCAUCUCAACACUCGUAUCCUCAUUCUUGUGGAGCAAAUGCCAGACAUUCUUUCAUCCAUCAGUAUGUCAAUAUGUAUCUCUGAAAUAGAAGGACUUUUUAUAAAACAUAAUCAUAAUAUAAUUAAUAUUCAUUCCCCAAUUGU